rnacentral:ncRNA from 1 species
UAGGAACCGUGAGAUUAAGCCAUCGCGGCAGGUGCUCACGUUAAGCCCACUGACUUUCAUGUCCCUAUCUACUAUCUAGCGAAACCACAGCCAAGGGAACGGGCUUGGAAUAAUUAGCGGGGAAAGAAGACCCUUUUGAGCUUGACUCUAAUCUGGCAGUGUAAGGAGACAUAAGAGGUGUAGAAUAAGUGGGAGAUAUUAGACUUCGGUUUGGUAUCGACAAUGAAAUACCACUACUCUUAUUGUUUCCUUACUUACUUGAUUAAAUGGAACGUGUAUCAUUUCCUAGCCAUUAUACGGAUAUAAUUAUUAUGUCUUAUGGUAUUGGGUUUUGAUGCAAGCUUCUUGAUCAAAGUAUCACGAGUUUGUUAUAUAAUCGCAAACAAAUUCUUUAAUGAGAGAAUGCAUUUAUGUAUUAUUGAUUUAAAAAUUUG